AAUUUUCCUGCUAGAAGUCGUGCCUUUUGAUUGUUUUCUGAUGAAGAUGGUUGAAAAUAUUUGGGAUGCGUUAACGCCUGAUUUUGUACGCAUGACGAAAUCACCAAAAUAACGGGCCAAAAUCACGCUAACGGUUGAUGGAGUAGUUGAUUAUAUAAAACUCACAAAGUACAUUCACACAAACAUAAAUAAAGAGAUAUAAAUAUGAACACAAGAAUUUACGUGGAAACCCAAUUGGAAAAAAACCACGGAGAGAGAGUAAUCCACUAUAAUAAUAUUGAGAGUAAUCCACUAUAAUAAUAUUUGGGUGUACAAGAUGAUAAUAUGGAGAGUACAAGGUGUGUAUUUGUGUUGUAUCUCUUGUGUUCUAUCAUGUUCUGUUAAAACCCUAGCUUGUAGUCAUAUAUAUAGAAGUCACCUCCAUCCGCAUCCAAUUAGGAGAAGGACUCCUUUUGUAGAAUUACCUUAUAACUCCCGAAUCCAAUUAGCAGUAGGAGUCCUAAUUAAACCUCCUUAUCCCACCAAAUAAGAAAAUAGAAUCCUACUUUAAUAAGGACUCUCCACUGUCACAAUAAAUACAUAUGGGCCAUCACCAGAUCCGGACCAUUAAAUAGAUUGGAUUGCACCAUGGCUAGGCCCAAAUAAUCACAUCCCAACAUUGCCCCCCAGUCUCUUAUUUAUAAGUAACUUAUAAAUGAGAGACUAUACAAAUAUACGCCAACAAAACGACCAUAUUUGCCGAAGAGAAAAUAUCACGCCCGAACUCCAUACGCCGAACUAAAAUUGUUGGAGAACCAACCUUAUACCAACCGAAUAUAAAGAACCAACCUUAUACCAACCGAAUAUAGAGAACCAACCUUAUCCCAACCGAACCAACCUUAUACCAACCGAAUAUAGAGAACCAACCUUAUCCCAACUGAACCAACCUUAUACCAACCGAACCAACCUUAUCACAACCGAAGAUAUAAAGAAUCAACCUUAUCACAACAGAAUAUAGAGAACCAACCUUAUACCAACCGAAUAUAAAGAACCAACCUUAUCACAACCGAAUACAGAGAACCAACCUUAUCUCAACCGAACCAACCUUAUCACAACCAAAGAUAGAGAACCAACCUUAUCACAACCAAACCAACCUUAUACCAACCGAAAAUAUAAAGAACCAACCUUAUUACUACCGAACCAACCUUAUCACAACCAAAGAUAGAGAACCAACCUUAUCACAACCAAACCAACCUUAUACCAACCGAAAAUAUAAAGAACCAACCUUAUUACUACCGAACCAACCUUAUCACAACCGAACCAACCUAAUCACUACCGAAGAUAUAAAGAACCAACCUUUUAUAAAGUUCGUUCCAGGGAACUAAACGUAUUCGUUCUAAAGAACUGUACAAAUGUUUACUUUGACCGUUUGGGAGGACGUUGGUCCGUCCCAAAGGAUAUUGUCCGAUUGAGAGGAUGAUGAUCCGUCCCGAAGGAAGUAAUCCGUUCGGGAGGACGAUGGUCCGUUCCGAAGGAAGUAAUCCGUUCGGGAGGACGUUUGUCCGACCUUAUGCCCCCAGUCUCUUAUUUAUAAGAACCUUAUUUAUAAGAGACUAUUCAAAAGGUAUCUAUGAGAUUUUUAUCCUCGGGACUUUUAUCCGCUGGAUUUUUAUCCUCGGGAUUUUAUCUUCGGGAUUUUUAUCCGCUGGAUUUUUAUCCUCGGGAUUUUUUAUCAUUUCGGGAGAUCAAAGCCUUUCUGAAGGACGUUUGUCCGACCUUAUAACCCCUCCAACCUUAUGCCGCCAUAAUAUCCGUCCCGAAGGAUGUAAUCCAUUCGGGAGGACGUUGGUCCAUCCCAAAGGAUAUUGUCCGAUUGAGAGGAUGAUGGUCCGUCCCGAAGGAAGUAAUCCGUUCGGGAGGACGUUGGUCUGUCCCGAAAGAUAUUUGACCGUUCGGGAGGACGAUUGUCCGACCUUAUAACCCCUCCAACCUUAUGCCGCCAUUGUCCCCCAGUCUCUUAUUUAUAAGGAACUUAUUUAUAAGAGACUAUUCAAAAAGUCUCCAUGAGAUUUCUAUCCUCCGGACUUUUAUCCUCGGGAUUUUUAUAUCCUCGGGAUUUUUAUAUCCUCGGGAUUUAUAUCCUCGGGACUUUCAUCCUCGGGAUUUAUAUCAUCGGGAUUUUUAUUCUCGGAAUUUUUAUCCUCGGGCUUUUUAUCCUCGGGACUUAUAUCCUCAGAAUUUAUAUCCUCGGGACUUUUAUCAUCGGGAUUUAUAUCCGUAGAAUGUUCAUCCUUUCGGGAGACCAAAGCCUUCCCGAAGGACGUUUGACCGACCUUAUAACCCCUGCAACCUUAUGCCGCCAUAAUAUCCGUCCCGACCUCUGUGGGAGGCUUUGAUCAGACUUUACAUCUGCCGAAAGUAAAUAGUCAAAGAUAUGAUGAAGCCGAUGUGAUAUAGUCCGAGGCAAACUGCAAUUAUUCGAAGAGGAUUGUUGUUGCCCGAAGUGAGUUGUUGCCCAAAGUGUCACUGAUAACAAAUUUUGACUGUCGAAGUGUGCUAAAAUCUGAGCUCUGAUUCUGACUUUAGUGUCGAAGUUGGAGUUGAUGUCCGAAGUGGCGAAUGUUUCUGGACCUGUUUUCAGGAUGAAGAUUUUUUCAUGAGCUCCUCUAUUUGAGACUGCUGCUUCAAUACUUCGGAGUCCGAACUAUUCUUCUCUUGAUUUAAGUUGCAGAACGAUUAAUUAGCCUCAUCCUUUUAUUACUCCGAAGGGAUGACGAUGGUGAAAUCUGAAGAAUGGUGAGGCUGUUUACACUUGGCCUGUAUUGCCAAGCUCUCCACUUUCUGUUUCUUUAUAAUUCUGACUAACUUUGAGAUCGUCCACCAUACAUAGUUGAUUGCCGCCACAAUCCAUGAGUUAUAAAAGUAGCUCUUUGUUGAAAAGCAAUUAUAUGGGCAUGACCCUGUGAGGUGACUGAUCUCCCAAAGAGCUCCCUCGACUCUUGCAUCUGUUGGUCCAACGUUUGAAGGGUGAUAUAAUUCUCCUCGUCUAAUAUUUGUCUGAAUUGGAUGAGGUAGAACUAAAAUCCUUUUUGUGGGAAGGGGACCUUCGGCUUCGGUGAGAUCCUUUUUAACUGUUCUGGACGACGUUGCCCAUUCCCGGUAUAAGUUGUCAUCCUCUUUGGUUAAUUCAACGAGUUGUUUAUUAAGCUCUUCCUGUUAGAGCAGAAUAGCUCUCCUCUUGUCUUGAACGUCUCGGAGGUGAUACUACCUGUCAAUGUCCGUUGUUUGAUGUGACUGGGAGCGUGUCUCUCCAUGAGAGUUACUGUGUAUCUUAUUCAAUGGGUAUUCGGGCUCGGGGCCACCACCAACCAAAGCAAGUAUACUGCACUGGAAAAGCAUCUGAACCACGCCGAUUCCGCUGCCGGAGUCAAAGUUCUGCCUGAAGAUUUCCCGAAAGGGGUCGCAGUUACAAAUUCGGAAGCCGCGGUCAGCGAGGCAUCUGAGUUGUUGUUGGCGUUGAUCCCUUCAAAGGCUUUAUUGCAUUUCCCUUUUCGUUAACCAAUUCCAUGUAUAACGGAGGAAGCUCGACCUCAAACACAAUUUUGGGUAGAACUGUGGCGAUAUUGCUGGUGGUCACACGGAGAAGCCACAGCCAGAUCGGGGAGAUUAGAGAGAAAUAUGGGGGAAGGAGAACAAUUGUCUGCUGUCCCUUUUUAAUCCUGGCUAAGUCAGAGACUUGAGACUUAACAUCAUGCAUUGUUGCUUGCCACCACCUUUAUUGAAAAGCAAUCACAUGGGCAUAAUCUUAGCUUGAGCAGACAAGGUAACAGUAGGCAUUAAAAAACAUAAGAGGAACAAGUUUUAUAACGUGUUGCAUAUAUAUUUUUUAUUUAAUAAUAAUAAUAGUAAAAAAAAAAUAACUUAGUUUUAUGUGUUGGUUCUCCUUCUUGAUGAAUCGGUGAUUUUAAAUUGACACUAGAAUAAGUGUCUUCUUUCCCACAGACGGCGCCAAUGUUAACGCCUGAUUUUGUACGCCUGACGAAAUCACCAAAAUAACGGGCCAAAAUCGCGCUAACGGUUGAUGGAGUAGUUGAUUAUAUAAAACUCACAAAGUACAUUCACACAAACAUAAAUAAAGAGAUAUAAAUAUGAACACAAGAAUUUACGUGGAAACCCAAUUGGAAAAAAACCACGGAGAGAGAGUAAUCCACUAUAAUAAUAUUUGGGGGUACAAGAUGAUAAUAUGGAGAGUACAAGGUGUGUAUUUGUGUUGUAUCUCUUGUGUUCUAUCAUGUUCUGUUAAAACCCUAGCUUGUAGCCAUAUAUAUAGAAGCCACCUCCAUCCGCAUCCAAUUAGGAGAAGGACUCCUUUUGUAGAAUUACCUUAUAACUCCCGAAUCCAAUUAGCAGUAGGAGUCCUAAUUAAACCUCCUUAUUCCACCAAAUAAGAAAAUAGAAUCCUACUUUAAUAAGGACUCUCCACUGUCACAAUAAAUACAUAUGGGCCAUCACCAGAUCCGGACCAUUAAAUAGAUUGGAUUGCACCAUGGCUAGGCCCAAAUAAUCACAUCCCAACAGGAUGAUUUGGUUGUUGUUUGAAUUUUUAAUUAUGGGUUCGACCUGGUUAAAUAAUUGCUUAGGGAACUAUGCUAUGAUUCCUUGUUAUAGGGCAACUCUUGUUGUUGCUGUAUAGGAGGAUUUUGUGGGUACAUGUCAUAGCUUACAUGAUUUCGAAGAACAUUGAAAUUAGUUGGAAUGGUUUUAAAUAGUUGGGGUUUAUGUGGUGUGGAUUUUGAUGUGUAUGUUUUGGAUAAAGUGAAAUAUUGUUCACUUCUUCAAAGUAUUAGUAUUAUACCUUGUGAUGAGCCUGGAUGCUCAUAUUAACAUUUUAUGCAAUGCUCUAAUUAUUUUUGUCUCAUGGAUGAGCAAGCCGUAACAAUUUAAUUUUCUAAAGUUGACUGUGGUUCCAAGUACUAAGCUAUAUACGUUUUCAGUUAUUCUUGGCCUAUUCAGGGAAGUACAUUUGUAGUGAUAACUGAUUUUUGAAUUUGGAAAGUGUAACUUUUGAGUAAUAAAUGGUGAUAUAUUAAAUAUGUCAUCAACGCAAUUGGUGAAAUGAUAACGCUGUUUUUAUUGAAAUACUUAAGACCAUAAUCACCAUUUAGCUGUGGUAAUCACUGCCUUGUUAUCCCAUUUGAUUUUUUUGCUAACGUUAUUUGUAGAUGUGGUUUUUUUUUUUUUUUAAGUUAUUUAGAGUAGUCAUAUCUUAUGGUAAAAAGUAGGAUUGGUUAUUAUAAUACUCUUAGGCGGGGUUACUAUAAGUUGGAACUUGCAUUUUUGUUCCAAAUUGUAUUAUCCCAAUCACCAAUCUUUAACUUUCCUGAUCCUCUGGAGUAAAUUUCACUUACGUUUUGGAGAAAACAAAGGAGAUGGGCAUAACUUUUAAUACAUAUGUUGAUAACACUUAUUUUUAUAGAGGAUGAAUGAGAUGGGGAGGGAGUUAGUGAGAUAUUCACAUGAAUUUAGGGUUUAUAGCAUCCCAAAUUUCAUUGUCUCAAGGAUUUACCCAACUUUGAGAACCUUUCUUAACUAGGGAUACAACUUAGCUCUCAGCUUCUUUCUCAACUAAAUUACAAAAAGUGCAGUCCCCUUGAUGUGGAGGUUUUAGGACGAAGGAUAAAUAUCACACAGAUAACCUCACACAAAAUUAAAUCAAUUCUAAUUAUUCAAUGUAUCAAAAUAAUGAAGUACAUCCCUAUUUAUAAUGCUCUUAGACAACUUUCCUAACCUAACUUUGACUCUAAUAAGAUAACUACAAAUCAAAUAAGAUAACUGUUGGCAUCCAAAGCAUCUUAUAUUGUUCUAACCAACUUUUACGGGAUCGUCCUACAUCGUUCAAAAUUUUUGAUUUUUUGCCGAACCGGUUGAUACAAGUUUUUUUCGGUACCGGUUUUCGGUAUUUUAACACUUUUCGGUACCGGUACCGGUAAUGACUUUUUUGAAUUCGAUAAUAACCGAAAUACCAAAAAUACCGAAAUUUAAUAAUUUAAUAAUUAAUAGUUAAUGUUUUGUAAUUUUAUAUAUUAAAUAAUUUUUUUUAUAUAUUAAUAAUUUCU
rnacentral:lncRNA from 1 species